GUGAUAUAUAACUUGCAGACCAGACAAACUUUCCUUGAGAGAGUGAUGAUAGAGAUGAAAUCUGAAGGUUUACUUUUAGCAAAUAAAGUGGGAGGGGAGACACUGUGAGAAUUUAGCAAAUGAAGUGUCCAGGCAGAGACAACAGCUUGGCAGCUCUUUGGGGGUUGGAAGAAGACCAUGAAGCUCUAAGUGCUUCAGAGGAAUGGGGUUGCCAAAACAGAUGUGAGAGACACAGAGAGGAGGCUGGGCCAAUGACGAAGGGUGUUAUUUUGGGUCUGAGUGCAGAA